rnacentral:lncRNA from 1 species
AUGUUUAACACACACAGAUUUCACAGAAUCACAGAAUGGCUCAGGUGGGAAGGGAGCUCUGGAGGUCAUCUGGUCCAAACCCCCUGCUCAAGCAAGGCCACCUACAGCGGGUUGCCCAGGACCACGUCUGGGCAGCUUUUGAAGAUCGCCAAAGAAGGAGAACAAGCCUCCUACAAGGUAAAUCUACAGAGGAAGAAGCGAAUGGGAAUAAAUAUGACCCAGAUGCCUCAUAACUAUUUGGCUGCCUUACUCUGAAGAUCUUUUCAAGGUACAUUGUUUGUCUAUUGAGUGUAUUAAGAACUUACAUGCUGUCUACAAGUCUGUCUGAAUCCUUUUUAAUCUUCAUACUUGCAGGGUUUAGUGUUUAAAAAUUAGACACAACUGCACCUGAGAAAGACUUCUGCGUACGUAUGCUGUAACCUUUCUCAUGAAUUCACCAGCUUUGAAUCCAAUUGCAAAUUUAGGAUUGCGGAGGGAUUUGUCGUUUUAUAUUUAAUAGUGAUGUCAUAAAGGAUUGUGGAAAGUACAAUACAAGACGAUAAAGGUCAGUUACCAUUCAGUAAGUCAAACGUCUGCUUAUUGUCUUAUUUCACUGCAUUUUUGGCUGGGGAAUGCCAAAAAGAUGUGCAAAUUAUUCAUUUGCCUAAUUUAUAAUAUAGGGCUGACUUCAUUUAUGUUUUCAUUUUUGUUAGAAAGUAAUUUGUGACUCCAAAAUAUUUAAAUGAAACUAGCAUUUGAGAAAGAGAUCUUUCCCAUCUAAUUCACAAAUACUCAUCAUCUAUGGUGUAUGUGUGACACUUCUGAUCUUGCCUUCACAAAAAAAAUAUAAAAAAAAAUCUGAAUACUGAAAGACUGAAGUCAAGGUGGUUUUAAGACAGUUUGUAGCCACAUGAGUUGGAGAGAGAUUCACAAAGGUAAUCAGUAGGCUAACGUUGCUAUACUUCUCCAAUGGGUGACUCAGAGCCCUGACAAAUGGAGUUCUAACUUUGAUUUGUCCUCUAAGGAAUUGUUUCUCUUAUGCUCCUAUUCUCCAGUGAUUGUACUAGGAACUCAGGGAAAUUGAAUUUAGCAAACUAAAACUGGCCUGUGUGAAUAGUUUCCCCUUCUUGAGGGAAAACAUCACUGAAAUAUCACUUCUGUUAGUGUUCAAAAAAAAAAAAAGCAAACUAAAAAACAUAUUCAAAGGCUCUGAAGUGAAUGCAAUUUCUUUUAUACAAAUGAAUCUUCUUUGUUUCUUCCAUUUCUGAAAACUUAAAAUAUUUGCCCAGCUCUAAUCACACUGUUUUAGUUAGGAUGGAAAGAACUAAAUUGUACUGGGGAGUAAAAUAAAAAUGUCAUCAUGUUUUAAUUUAUUUACA